UACGGCCGCAUCACGUUGAAACAUUGGUUCUCGUCCGAUCACUGACGAUACGCAACGUCGAGUUUAGUCAGUACCUUGAUGGGUAACCGUUUGGGAAUACCAGGUGUUGUAA